rnacentral:rRNA from 1 species
UGCGUGGCGGCAGGCCUACACAUGCAGUCGUACGGUGAACAGCCAAGCAGCUUGCUGCUUCGCUGACGAGUGGCGGACGGGUGAGUAAUGUCUGGGAAACUGCCUGAUGGAGGGGGAUAACUACUGGAAACGGUAGCUAAUACCGCAUAACGUCGCAAGACCAAAGAGGGGGACCUUCGGGCCUCUUGCCAUCGGAUGUGCCCAGAUGGGAUUAGCUAGUAGGUGGGGUAACGGCUCACCUAGGCGACGAUCCCUAGCUGGUCUGAGAGGAUGACCAGCCACACUGGAACUGAGACACGGUCCAGACUCCUACGGGAGGCAGCAGUGGGGAAUAUUGCACAAUGGGCGCAAGCCUGAUGCAGCCAUGCCGCGUGUAUGAAGAAGGCCUUCGGGUUGUAAAGUACUUUCAGCGGGGAGGAAGGCGAUAAGGUUAAUAACCUUGUCGAUUGACGUUACCCGCAGAAGAAGCACCGGCUAACUCCGUGCCAGCAGCCGCGGUAAUACGGAGGGUGCAAGCGUUAAUCGGAAUUACUGGGCGUAAAGCGCACGCAGGCGGUCUGUCAAGUCGGAUGUGAAAUCCCCGGGCUCAACCUGGGAACUGCAUUCGAAACUGGCAGGCUAGAGUCUUGUAGAGGGGGGGUAGAAUUCCAGGUGUAGCGGUGAAAUGCGUAGAGAUCUGGAGGAAUACCGGUGGCGAAGGCGGCCCCCUGGACAAAGACUGACGCUCAGGUGCGAAAGCGUGGGGAGCAAACAGGAUUAGAUACUCCUGGUAGUCCACGCCGUAAACGAUGUCGACUUGGAGGGUUGUGCUCUUGAGGCGUGGCUUCCGGAGCUAACGCGUUAAGUCGACCGCCUGGGGGAGUACGGCCGCAAGGUUAAAACUCAGAUGAAGUUGACGGGGGCUCGCCACAAGGCGGGUGGAGCAUGGUGGUUUAAGUUCGAUGCACGCGAGAAGCUUACUACUCUUGACAUUCAGAAGAACUUUACAGAGAUGGCAUUGGUGCUUUCGGACUCUGGAAACAGGUGCUGCAUGCUGUCGUCAGCUCGGUUGGAAAUGUAGUAGUUCGAACGAGCCACCUUAUCUUUGGUGCACG